rnacentral:lncRNA from 1 species
CGGAACAUCCCUUUAACAAUUUAACUGACCCCAUUACGAGUUGGUUGAUCGUUAUGCAAUAUUCGUUUCACAGAUGAUAGUGGAUAUUGUCCAGUUCUAGAACCUAUAAUCCUUUCUGCUUUGCUCUAAAUUUGACCUACCAAAUUAGACUUAUUAACGGGUUUGGACUAGCACAUGCUAGCAUGAGCAAAACUUUUCGUAUGCACC